rnacentral:rRNA from 1 species
CCUACGGGUGGCAGCAGUGGGGAAUAUUGCGCAAUGGGCGAAAGCCUGACGCAGCGACGCCGCGUGAGGGAUGAAGGUCUUCGGAUCGUAAACCUCUGUCAGCAGGGAAGAACGGUCACUGUGCUAAUCAGCAGUGAAUUGACGGUACCUGCAAAGGAAGCACCGGCUAAAUCCGUGCCAGCAGCCGCGGUAAUACGGAGGGUGCGAGCGUUAAUCGGAAUUACUGGGCGGAAAGCGCUCGUAAGCGGUAUGUCAAGUCAAGGGUGAAAUCCCCGCGCUCAACGUGGGAACUGCCGUUGAAACUGGCAAACUGGGGUGUUUGAGAGGAUAGUGGAAUUCCAGGUGUAGGAGUGAAAUCCGUAGAUAUCUGGAGGAACAUCAGUGGCGAAGGCGACUAUCUGGCACAUAACUGACGCUGAGGAGCGAAAGCGUGGGUAGCAAACAGGAUUAGAUACCCCAGUAGUC